GACGAACGCUGGCGGCGUGCUUAACACAUGCAAGUCGAACGGGCCUGUCUUCUUUUUUGGGGGGUGGGUUGAGUGGCGAACGGGUGAGUAUCACGUGAGUAACCUGCCCUUCGGUCCUGGAUAACCGCUUGAAAGGGCGGCUAAUACGGGGUGGUCCGGUUGGUCCGCAUGGGCUGGUCGGGAUAGAUUCACUGUUUUUGGUGUUUCGGCGGGGGAUGGGCUCGCGGCCUAUCAGCUUGUUGGUGGGGUGAUGGCCUACCAAGGCGGUGACGGGUAGCCGGCCGGAGAGGGUGGGCGGCCACACUGGGACUGAGAUACGGCCCAGACGCCUGCGGGAGGCAGCAGUGGGGGGGAGUGCACAAUGGGCGGAAGCCUGAUGCAGCGACGUCGCGUGAGGGAUGGAGGCCUUCGGGUUGUGAACCUCUGUUUCCGGUGGUGAAGGCCCUGUCCGUGUGGUGGGGUUGACGGUAGCCGGGGAUGAAGCGCCGGCUAACUACGUG
rnacentral:rRNA from 1 species